rfam:Brachypodium distachyon strain Bd21 chromosome 1, whole genome shotgun sequence.
UAUGUACUCCCUCCGUCCCAAAAUAACUGACGUGUAUUUGUAUAAACCAUCACAAAAUAACUGAUGUGGAUUUGUAUAAAAAUCUAUACAAAUUUACGUCAAUUAUUUUGGGACGGAGGGAGUAUAAG